GAUGAACGCUGGCGGCGUGCCUAAUACAUGCAAGUCGAGCGAACAGACGAGGAGCUUGCUCCUCUGACGUUAGCGGCGGACGGGUGAGUAACACGUGGAUAACCUACCUAUAAGACUGGGAUAACUUCGGGAAACCGGAGCUAAUACCGGAUAAUAUAUUGAACCGCAUGGUUCAAUAGUGAAAGACGGUUUUGCUGUCACUUAUAGAUGGAUCCGCGCCGCAUUAGCUAGUUGGUAAGGUAACGGCUUACCAAGGCAACGAUGCGUAGCCGACCUGAGAGAGUGGUCGGCCACACUGGAACUUAGACACGGUCCAGGCUCCUACGGGAGGCAGCAGUAGGGAAUCGUCCGCAAUGGGCGAAAGCUUGACGGAGCAACGCCGCGUGAGUGAUGAAGGUCUUCGGAUCGUAAAACUCUGUUAUUAGGGAAGAACAAAUGUGUAAGUAACUAUGCACGUCUUGACGGUACCUAAUCAGAAAGCCACGGCUAACUACGUG
rnacentral:rRNA from 1 species